CUAUGGUGAUGAACGGUGUGAGGAAGCUCACCUGCCGAUGAUUUGUAAUUAGUGUCGUAUUUCAGCAGCUUUCGCUGGCGUUAAUGUUGUAAACUUUGGCAUUAUCCUAGCGUUUGUGGUUGCAGCACUCCCGGUCUUUUAUUGGCGUGUUUAGUUGUACUCCUCGCACUACUGCUUAUCUUAGCUAGUUGUCUUUGUUGCUAUCACCUACUGGCUCCCCGCACGGUUUUCAGUGUAGCUUGUCCAAGUUUCUUCCACCUUUUCUGAUCUGUUUUCCGUGGCUUUUGUUUGUAACUUCCACUAUUCCUAAUAAAGAGACCGUCUGCUCUGCGUCGGGGUCAAUCGGAACCUACACGUCACAUUUUUCACUUUAUAAUCGACAUCAAGUAAAGUUCAACUAAACAGGGUUGUCUCCAUGAUAAUGCCGCUGCAGAGACAAUUAAUAAUAAAAAAGAAGACGAGCGUGGGGGUUUGUCUGUGUGAUGAGGAGGAGGAGUAAACGAGGCAGAGGAAGAGGCGGAGGGAUGAAGGAGAGGGGGAGCAAGAGACCCCGUCGCGUUUUGACCCUCCGAAACCUUCCUGCACACCACCACCAUCAUCACCCCUCCUCUUCGUCCUCUCUUCUUGAGCCUGAAAACCACCAUCGCUCAUUCCCGGUGACAUUUUGCACUUUGCAGCGCGGACAACGAGCGUUCUCACUGGACCCUCUCCUUCCAACGCCAACGAGCAUCCCGACCGCUUGUGCAGCACAGCCGGACCGAGAGGCGCUGCAGGCGGAAGCGAGGGGCUGCAGGAAGCCGCUGCUUCUCUGGACUUAAAAACACACAACCGGGAGAUAUUUAGGUUUAGGAGGACCGAGGCUGAGCUUGCUGGACUAUAACCGGGCAGAGCAUCAUCAUCUCCGGGGAAGGACCGACUGGCGAGUCGCAUGGAGAAGAGGUAUGAAGAGCUGGUGCAGUACUCAGGGUCGGAGGGCAUGUCGCUGGGGGUGUACGGGGACGAUGUCAGACCGCUUCUACCCCCUCAGUAUGGAGCCGCCAUCCCCGACUCCCUCAAACACCACAAGGACCAGAUCUAUGGUCACCCACUGUUCCCACUGUUGGCCUUAGUUUUUGAAAAGUGUGAGCUUGCCACCUGCUCCCCCCGGGACUCCUCCUCCCUGUCAGCCACCUCCCACCUCCCUGGCAUGACCAACCACAGCGACGUGUGCUCCUCCGAAUCCUUCAACGAUGACAUUGCUGCAUUUGCUAAACAGAUUCGUUCUGAAAAACCCAUAUUUUCCUCCAAUCCUGAGCUGGACAACUUGAUGAUCCAGGCUAUACAGGUUCUUCGCUUUCAUUUACUGGAGUUAGAAAAGGUGCAUGACCUUUGUGAUAACUUCUGCCACCGUUACAUCACCUGUCUGAAGGGCAAAAUGCCCACAGACCUGGUCCUGGAUGAACGGGAUGGAGGCUCCAAGUCUGACAUGGAGGACUUUAAUGGAUCCUGCACCAGUUUGUCCGAACAGAAUGCAUCAUGGUUACGUGAGCCUGAUGAAUGUGCCACCACUCCUUUGGGAACACCAGGCACCUGUGGGCUGCCUUCACACAACACAGCAGACAACCACAGUGAUACAGGAGAUGGUCUGGAUGCUGGAGUGGCCUCCCCAAGCACAGGAGAUGACGACGAGUCUGACAGGGAGAGGAGGAACAACAAGAAGAGAGGCAUCUUCCCCAAAGUGGCAACAAACAUCAUGCGAGCUUGGCUCUUCCAGCAUUUGUCGCACCCGUACCCCUCGGAGGAGCAGAAGAAGCAGCUGUCGCAGGACACGGGUUUGACCAUCUUGCAGGUCAACAACUGGUUCAUCAAUGCGAGGAGGAGAAUUGUUCAGCCCAUGAUCGACCAGUCAAACCGCUCAGGUCAGGGUGGUCCCUACAGCCCAGAGGGAGCAGCGCUUGGGGGUUACGGGCUCGACGGACAAGCCCACCUCGGACUCCGAGCAGCAGGUACUGACGGCAUGCGCUUUGAGAUGAAGCAGCUUCAAAGUUGAACUUUUCUCCGCCUAAGGCAGGGGGGGCCAAACGUUGCCCCACCAAUGGCAGCAUACAGGAAAAUGGAAGGAUGGGGGGGCCACUGUGGUACAUUUUGUGCAAUAAAGAUGCUAAAACCAAUCCAAUGUAGGUCAAUAUAUGCUAAGCUAUCUGCACAAAACAUCCACAUCUUAGCUUUGCAUUACAGCUGACAAAGCAAAUUACACUAAUCCCUCGUUUAUCGCAGUUAAUUGGUUCCAGAGUCAAUUUCUGCAAAAUAGGAUUCCUUAUUUAUAAAUUGAAUAUUUUUCUAGUUAGAGCAUAGAAAACCAGUUUACGACCUUCUAAAUACAGUUUUAACGUUAUUAGAGCUCUCCAGACAUGACCUAACACCCCUACAGCCAGUUUUGCACUUCUAUUACCCGAUAUAAUGGACUGUUUUGUGUUGCUGUAAAAUGGCUUCCCAAGGGGAGCUGAUGGGGCACGGACAGGAAGCGAUGUGAGGUGGGGCGGCAUGGCUCAGGUGGUAGAGUGGUCGUCUCCCAACCUGAAGGUUGCGGAUUCGAUCCUCCGUGAUCGUGUCCAAGUGUCCUUGGGCAAGAAACUGAACCACCUACUGCUCCUGAUGCUGUGUCAUCAGUAGCUAAAUGUGCUAGCAGUGGAAAAGCGCUAUACAAGUGAAAAAUCAUUCACCAUGUCGGGGUUCAGAGUUGGUUUUUAGCUUGGCGUGGGUUACAGCCGCAACAGUAGCCCGUGUUUUUAUUUGGGAUUAUUGUGCCUGUUGUGAGAUCAUUCAAACCUGCAAUAAAAGCCUGUUGUUCUGGCAAUCAUCACUAACAUUACUGACACCUAGUGACCGGUGUCGAGUACUACAUGUCAUUCACAGCAUCUUUGAAUGAGUCUGAUGAAAGCCUUAUGUUUGUAUAUUUGUUUAUUUAGACAUUUUUAUGCUUUUCAUAUGAUUGUUUUUUUUGUGAAGCCUUUUGGCCAAAAUGUUGCUUUGGUGUCUCGGUUUGUGUUGUACAGCACGUAACAAACUAGUCUGUUUCCCCUGUACUGUAUCAUUCAGCCAAAUGACCAGACAAACAAAACCCCCAAUGUGGUGCUGACCACUAAAUAACCCGCCAUGGGGCCAAAGAAAGUGGGGAGAGCCACCAAUUUGAUAAAGGAGGUCUUCAGGGGAUGCCAUCUCUGCAGGGGGACUACCCUGGUGCUCUGCUGUCCCAAGCAGCCUACCCUCCCCACC